rnacentral:tRNA from 1 species
CAAGAAGUAGUUUAAAUAAAAUAUUAAUUUUGGAGAUUAAUGAUAAAGGUAUUUCUUUUUUCUUGA